rnacentral:rRNA from 1 species
AGCGAACGCUGGCGGCAGGCCUAACACAUGCCAGUCGAACGAACCUUUUGGGGUUAGUGGCGGACGGGUGAGUAACACGUGGGAACGUGCCUUUAGGUUCGGAAUAACUCAGGGAAACUUGUGCUAAUACCGAAUGUGCCCUUCGGGGGAAAGAUUUAUCGCCUUUAGAGCGGCCCGCGUCUGAUUAGCUAGUUGGUUGAGGUAAUGGCUCACCAAGGCGACGAUCAGUAGCUGGUCUGAGAGGAUGAUCAGCCACAUUGGGACUGAGACACGGCCCAAACUCCUACGGGAGGCAGCAGUGGGGAAUCUUGCGCAAUGGGCGAAAGCCUGACGCAGCCAUGCCGCGUGAAUGAUGAAGGUCUUAGGAUUGUAAAAUUCUUUCACCGGGGACGAUAAUGACGGUACCCGGAGAAGAAGCCCCGGCUAACUUCGUG